UACGAGUGGUGCAAGCGUUAUUCGGAAUCAUUGGGCGUAAAGGGUGUGUAGGCGACAUCUCAAGUCUAUUGUUAAAUGCCUCGGCCUAACUGAGGAUAUGCAAUAGAUACUGUUUUGAUAGAGGAUGGAAGAGAGAAGUGGAAUUCUCGGAGUAGCGGUAAAAUGCGUAGAUCUCGAGAGGAACACCGAUGGCGAAAGCAGCUUCUUGGUCCAUACCUGACGCUGAUACACGAAAGCGUGGGGAGCAAAC
rnacentral:rRNA from 1 species